CUAUACUCCACACUCUUUCUCUAACUGCUUCUUCUCUUAGCUUUCAUCUCCUUCCAUUUGCCAUUUCCACAUUACCAUCGUUCAUUCAGGUGUUUAGUCUCAUAAUGGGUAGGGUUCCCCAUCUAGAGCUGGGAAGUCCGAUGUUUUACAGGGAACUCGUGGCGGGAUUCGCCUUAGGUCUUUGUGCUGCCUUCGCCUGGAAGAACAAGCACAAGGACAUGCAGAAGAAAACUAAGUCCAUCUAUCAGCAGCUCGACACUGGUGAUAUUUCUGUUGUUGCUCAAGACUACUAGUGUGAUUUUUUUAUUUUUUUUUUUUCAUUUCAUCACUGCAUUUUAUAAUUUAUUUUUUUUAUUCCAAGAUUAUAAUAGUAAUAAGCAAGCAAGGGUUUUGCUUGGAAAUUUUUAAUGAAUUCUGUGUGCUACAAGAAUGCAGUGAGUGAUAUGUAAUUUGGUCUCUCUUUUCAAACCCCUUUGUUGUGGGUAAUUUAUGCAUUAGUAACAUGAAAUUCACUUUAUUCUCC